GGUUUCCAAGGCCUUAUAAAUUAUAAUAAAAGAAUAAAAUACAAUUUUCCACUCUCUCGCUCCUCUCUUUCCCUCUCCUCCAUCUCUCAUUUUUUGCCCUAACUGAUAGGGUUUCCAUGUCCAUAUAGCUCCAACCUCUCAUGCAUCAGUGCCUUCAACCUUUACCGAUCGUUGUUGCAGCAGCCUUAAUCGUUUCUGGGUCUCUCUCUUUCGAGGGUUUUUUGGCGGAAAGCUUUGCACUUUUGGCCUCCCAGAGGUUUUUGAGUUGCACCCAUGUCAAAGCUACUUGGUUUCUCCGAUGCUGAAGUUUGUUUGGCGACUUUAAAAUUAAGGAAUUUUCCUUGGAUAAGAUCCGGCAUUUUCAUUUCAGAUGCAGCUGUCUUUAAACAUAGUUACAGAGGAGGGCACUCUGUGGUUUGAUUUCAAGAGGGAUUAUGAUGCUUCUUUUGUUGUGAUUAGUUUUUUCUUUAAAGCGUUGUUAGAUGUGAUUCUAAAUGUACGCAGUGAAGAGUGGAGCCUUAUUUCAUUGGAUCCUAGAGGAGUAUAGAUUGCUUCUAAAAUGGAGCCUUAUUUCACGUGAUGUUUGAAACUAAAUCUGUGCAACCUGUGCUGCUAUAAUUUUUUUUUUUCCCAAACCAAAAAAAAAAAAAAAGAAAAAAAGAGAGGACCCGUGGACCAGGCCAGGUUAGGUCCGAUUGCUGUAUUGAAAUAUGAUGUACUCGGCCCGAUCCGUUUCUUUUAAACCUAGAUCCGGUCCGGUUCUUUCAAAAUUGGGCCCGGGCCGGUCCGUGCCCAGCUCUAUUCCCCAUCUCCCAAACUCCUAUUAGACUUAAGACGCCCACUCUUCUCCUCCUCGACAUCAUCCCUCACAAAAAACCCAGUCUCAGACCACCAUCGCCGUGGCGAGUCGCGACCACCACCACUUGAGCUCUCUUCCUCAAUGACAUCCCAGAGAACCCAGGUCUUAGAACCCAGUUCUCCCACUCCUGAUUCCAAGUCACAGACCAUCGAUUCACCAUCGUCCCCCAUCACUGCCGUCGCGACCACCGUCAUCCAGAACACUGCCGGUCAUCAUGUGAGCAAGAUCCCAGUUGAAAAUUCAUGUGGUGGUGGGUGAUAGGUGUAAAUGUACAAACUGAAGAAGAAGAGGAAUGCAUUUUUUUUUAUGGAA